UGAUGACUGUUCCUCCUAUUGCCUAUAGGCAUGGCACUAGGAUUUUAGGUCAUCGUAAAUUAAAAUUGAUUUUUUUUUUUUUUACUCAGAGAAUAUCAAGAUAUUGGGAUUAUCUGUGUAUUCUCUGAAAUUUGCAGGGUCAAACAAUU